UCAAAGGAGAAAAAACAUGAACUUGUGAUAACAAUCAUCCAAUGUUAUUUCCAGAUACCUUUAAAGGACAGCGGUGCAAGUAUGUACCUGUCAGAAUUGCCUCCCCUUCCAUCAAGUCUCAGGAUGCGCCUCCUUCCAAACCUUGAACUGGACACGGUGGAUGCAGAUCGUCACCAGCUGGUCCAACAUUGGUCUAUUCUCUGCCGUGUUGUAGGAACCACCAGCAAAGGCCUCAGGAAGCAGUGGAAUGUCAACAGACAAAAGAGGAUGCAGAAGGCAGCAGAGCCUCAGAAUCAUAUUUUCAUCAUCGACAAUGGAACAUGACAUAUGCUGAGCCAGUCUCUGAUUUAAGCGUUCAGUAAAAGGAAAUUCUGCAUGAAGAGUUAUCUGCAAAAAAUAUUCCUACGGUGAGUUAAAUCAUCAAGCAAACAUGGUUUAUAAAUGUUCCCAUCUCAUUGUUUUUGCAAGAAUGUAAGCCCCACCUAAAAGCACAUUCCUUAUUUUGUAGGGAAAUAUAUGGGGAUGCACACUUUGUCCCUCUGUGCCAAGACUUACCCUUAAAUUUAACUUCAACCUUCUUGUUUUCCUCCUGUGCUAUAGUAUGAUUUCACAGUACAUCCUCCCAUCUGUUGAAACAGAGAAGUGCUUGUAUUUUAGCCUGCGAUGACUAAUAUUCAUGAGGAAUGAAUCCAAAUUCAAACUAAAUGCACAUUUUUGCAUUUGUCCAAACCUAGCCAUGAAUUAUCUCAGGCUAUCAAUAGAAGAAGAGGAAAGUUGCUAUCUGUAAAUCCCUAUUUGUUUUCCCAAAUUGCACCCUUGGCAAUGGGUGUGACAGAAAAAUGUUCAGUAUUCCUAGUAGCCUAACCUGCCAAGAGAGAUAAAGCCACUUUGAUGUCCUGGACCCAGAGACUACACAGAUUUUUACCCAAAAUGGGCCUCAAGCCCUUUUCAGAGAGAAGUGGGCUAAAAUGAUCUGCCUGCUCCCCAGCCUUCUGAAUCCAGCAGAUAGACUGGUCGCCUGCUGGCUCCAGGAGAUGGCAGAUCUGACAUUAAUAGAGGCAAUGCUUUUUAAACUACUCUGGCCAAUAAUUAUGAUAGUGAUA
rnacentral:lncRNA from 1 species